UGUAAUGACACCAUUACACAUAGGAAUCAACACAAUCUUUUUCAUAAUGAAAACAUGUAUUUAUGCAUUAUAUAUAUACAUUAUAUGUGUGUGUGUGAUUCCUAUGUGUGUGCAUUGUAAGCUAGUCUUUGUAGUUACCUGAGGCAAAUAAAAUGCAGAGGUUUUGGCCGUGUGUGGCUGUGGCGAUGGUGGUGGUAGUGGUGACGGCGGCGGCAAAUAAAUUCGAUCAGGUGUAUGAUACAGAUGUGCAUAUAUGGCCUAUGCCAAAGUCAGUGACGCAUGGAGAAUCAAACCAGAAAGUUUACAUAAGCAUUGACUUUGAAUUCAACAUUGAUGAAAGGAGCAAGUACAGUGACGUAGGUGGGAUUCUGAAAGAUGGUUUCAAUCGAUUUCUUACACUUGUGGAGAUGGGUCAUGCGAUGGACCCUAGCUUCAAGCCUCCUCCUUCUGGUUCUAAGCUCAAGGGGAUUAAUUUGGUCAUCUCCUCUCCAAAUGUUGAGUUACAAUAUGGAGUUGACGAGUCAUACAAUCUAUCAGUCCCUGCUCCAGGGGGAGAGCCUUAUGCACAACUUGAGGCACAGACAGUCUAUGGGGCUCUACAUGGAUUUCAGACAUUCAGCCAGUUAUGCCAGUUUGACUUUGACACCCGAUUAAUUGAAAUUCGUAAGGUCCCAUGGAGUAUUAUUGAUCAGCCAAGAUUCUCCUACAGGGGUCUAAUGAUUGAUACAAGUCGACACUAUCUUCACAUGGAAACGAUUAAGAAAAUAAUUGAUUCAAUGGCAUAUGCAAAAAUGAAUGUUCUGCACUGGCACACUGUAGAUUCACAAUCUUUCCCAUUGGAGAUACCUUCAUAUCCAGAACUUUGGAAGGGUGCAUAUUCACUUUCAGAGCGAUAUACCAUGGCUGAUGCUGCUAAAAUUGUGAGUUAUGCACAGAGAAGAGGGAUUAAUGUGAUGGCCGAAAUUGAUAUUCCGGGACAUUCCCAUUCAUGGGGCAUUGGCUAUCCUAAUCUAUGGCCAUCAAAGGACUGUACAGAGCCACUUGAUAUCAGCAAUGAACAUACUUUUAAAUUGAUAAAUGGAACUAUUUCUGAUUUCAGGAAGGUCUUUAAAUUCAGAUUUCUUCACUUGGGAGGUGAUGAAGUUAAUACAAGUUGCUGGACGAACACUCCCCAUAUAAGGAAAUGGUUAGAAGCGAAGGGUAUGAAUGAACUUGAAGCUUAUCAGCAUUUUGUCUUGGAAGUACAGGACAUGGCUAUUUCCCAUGGAUAUGAAGUGGUGAACUGGCAAGAGACAUUCAACAGUUUUGGUAAAAAACUGAGCAAAAAGACUGUGGUGCACAACUGGCUUGAAGGUGUUGCUUCAGAUCUUGUGGUUGAAGCUGGGUUACGGUGCAUAGUAAGCAAUGUGGAUGCGUGGUAUCUGGGCCCUGUAGAAACGCCAUGGCAGACAUUCUAUGAAAACGAGCCACUCACAAACAUAAAAAACUCCAAGCUACGAGAAUUAGUAAUUGGGGGUGAGGUAUGCAUGUGGGGUGAAAAAGUUGAUGGGUCAGAUAUUGAGCAGAGUGUAUGGCCACGGACAGCAGCAGCUUCAGAGCGGCUAUGGACACCUUUAGAAAAGCUGCCUAAAGAUUUAAACCAAGUUAUUAAAAGAUUGGAACGCUUCAGGUGUUUGCUGAAUCAAAGAGGGGUUGCGGCAGCUCCAUUAAAUGGACUAGGUCGAGCGGUGCCUGAAAAGCCAGGUUCUUGCUUUGUACAAUAACUAAUUUUGAUUGAGAAGUAGCCGGUGGUCCAUUCUAUUUUGUUUCCCUGUAAUAUUCCAAUGCUGUUCCUUUAUAAACAUGAAUACUUCGUGUGUGUGUGUGUGUGUUUUUUUUUUUUUUUUUGUAAUUGAAUUGUAUUGGAAAAUCGUUGUUUUAGUUCGUUAUAAUGGAUAUUGAAUGUUAUGGUCACAUGGGGAAUGAAUGUAAGGGAUUAAUCUCUUGUUAAUUGGCAUACAGUUUUGAAAUUUCAAGGAACCGAAUUAACGCAAACUAGCCUGGUCGGAAUUUUCUAUUAAAUCAUAGUUAUUGAAUAAUUGAGAUUUUUUCUACAGAUAAGAUAAGCAAUGAAGAAAUUCAAAAUAUUGGUCAAGUAAUCAACCCUCCAAAACUACGAGUAGUUUAGAUGGCGUUCACUUGUGUGGUAUUUCAUAGAUGUCUCGAGUUAAGGCAAGAAAUUCUGCAUAUAGAGAUGUUCUCAAGAGUGAGUUUUAUCGCAGGAUAUCAAGGAGUCCAGCAGGUCACGGAGAAGAAGGAAGAUGCAAAAAAUCAGGAAGAAGAUACGAUGGUGGUUGUUGUUAUCUGUCCAAAUACAAAUCUGACUCCGAAGAAGAUUUUUAGCUAGAUGUGUAGAGGGAUCCUUUCAAUAAUAUAGGAUAAAAGGUGUUGCUGCACACGGUGUGGUUGCAGCUGGGUUACGAUGCAUAGUAAGCAAUAUGGAUGCGUGGUAUCUGGACCUUGUCGAAACGCCAUGGCAGACAUUCUAUGCAAUUAAAUGAGCCACGCUCAAAAACAUCAACGACUCCAGUCUACGAGAAUUAGUAAUUGGGGGUGAGGUAUGUAUAUAUAUGUGGUGAAAAUUUUGAUGGGUCAGAUGUCAAACAGAGUGUAUGGCCACAUACAGCAGCAGCUUCAGGUACGUAAUUAUUUAUUUUGCAUCACCUUCAUUUGAAAUUCCACCUUUUUUGAAAUUGGUUUCUUUAUGAUGUA